GGUGGGGAUGUUAUAAAUAACUUCCGAUAUAAGAGACUUGGCCCGAUCCAGUCGCGUUGCUUCCUUGCAAUCGGACCGCGCUGCCAUACUGCGCGAUGUGUCUACCAAAAAGACAAAAUUACCCGUCUGUCGGUCCUCUGAGCCGGUUACUUUUCGUUGUGGCCCCGAUGCUACGAGCAGCAAGGAGCCGACAAAUAUCCAGGAGAUGAUCAAUAUCCCUAACGUUUUUCCGCGCAAUCCUUCAUUCGACUCGCUGAAAGCGUUCAAGAUACGUCGUGAUUUUUUAUAACCGAUUAU
rnacentral:misc_RNA from 1 species